GGUCCCGUAGCUCAGUUGGUAGAGCAAUUGGCUCUUAAUCAAUGUGUCGUGUGUUCGAACCACACCGGGAUCA
rnacentral:tRNA from 2 species